AAGAUCUGCAGAACCUUUACCUACAUCUACUGCCUGCAACGCAGCCGCUUUAAUUAAGCUAAGACCUCU
rnacentral:tRNA from 1 species